UAUCUCUGUAGAGUCUGCAUAUCAAUAAGCGGAGGAAAAGUAACUAACUAGGAUUCCCUCAGUAACGGCGAGUGAAGCGGGAAGAGCUCAAAUUUGAAAUCUUCAAGGUUCUACCUUGACGAAUUGUAGUUUAAAGAAGUGUUUUCUGUUGGAGUUUUGGUAAAAGUUCUUUGGAAUAGGACAUCAUAGAGGGUGAGAAUCCCGUAUUUGACCAUUAUUUUCCAGCUGUGUGAUACACUUUCAAAGAGUCGGAUUGUUUGGGAAUGCAGUCCAAAAUGGGUGGUAAAUUUCAUCUAAAGCUAAAUACUGGCGAGAGACCGAUAGCGAACAAGUACCGUGAGGGAAAGAUGAAAAGAACUUUGAAAAGAGAGUUAAACAGUACGUGAAAUUGUCAAAAGGGAAGCGUUUGACACCAGUGUUGUUUUCUCGAAAAUCAAUUAAAAAUGGCGGGAUUUUGUGUUGUAUUGACUUUAUCAGCUUUCUGCACUUUUUUCCUGUCUUUUUUAAUGCACUUCUCGUUUAACAAGUCAACAUCAAUUUCUUUUGUUGUAAAAGGGUCAUUGGAAGGUGGCUUUCUUUUCGGAGAAAGUGUUUAUAGCCUUUGGCCUCUGCAAUCGGAGAGAUUGAGGUCUGCAGCGUAGAUCCUUCGGGGUUAGAUGCAUUUGUGCUAAGCUAUAGCCUUUCAUAGACAACUUGUUGACUAUGAUCAGUCAUGUAGCUUACUCGCUUAUGUCAUUUUACCUACGCUUAGGAUGUUGAGUAGCGACAUACGCAC
rnacentral:rRNA from 1 species